CCUACGGGAGGCAGCAGUGGGGAAUAUUGGGCAAUGGGCGCAAGCCUGACCCAGCAACGCCGCGUGAAGGAAGAAGGCCCUCGGGUUGUAAACUUCUUUUGUCAGGGACGAAACAAAUGACGGUACCUGACGAAUAAGCCACGGCUAACUACGUGCCAGCAGCCGCGGUAAUACGUAGGUGGCAAGCGUUCUCCGGAUUUACUGGGUUUAAAGGGUGCGUAGGCGGUCCGUUAAGUCAUCGGUAAAAUUGCGGGGCUCAACCCCGUCGAGCCGUUGAAACUGGCAGACUUGAGUUGGCGAGAGGUACGCGGAAUGCGAGGUGUAGCGGUGAAAUGCAUAGAUAUCGCGAAGAACACCGAUUGCGAAGGCAGCGUACCGGAGCCAGACUGACGCUGAGGCACGAAAGCGUGGGGAUCGAACAGGAUUAGAUACCCGAGUAGUC
rnacentral:rRNA from 1 species